CUUCGGCCUUAGUGGCGCACGGGUGCGUAACGCGUGGGAAUCUGCCCUUGGGUUCGGAAUAACAGUUGGAAACGACUGCUAAUACCGGAUGAUGUCUUCGGACCAAAGAUUUAUCGCCCAAGGAUGAGCCCGCGUCGGAUUAGCUAGUUGGUGAGGUAAAGGCUCACCAAGGCGACGAUCCUUAGCUGGUCUGAGAGGAUGAUCAGCCACACUGGGACUGAGACACGGCCCAGACUCCUACGGGAGGCAGCAGUGGGGAAUAUUGGACAAUGGGCGAAAGCCUGAUCCAGCAAUGCCGCGUGAGUGAUGAAGGCCUUAGGGUUGUAAAGCUCUUUUACCCCGGAUGAUAAUGACAGUACCGGAAGAAUAAGCUCCGGCUAACUCCGUGCCAGCAGCCGCGGUAAU
rnacentral:rRNA from 1 species